ACUCAAAUGAAUUGACGGGGGCCCGCACAAGCGGUGGAGCAUGUGGUUUAAUUCGACGCUACGCGAAGAACCUUACCUGGGCUCGAACGACUGGUAGUAGUCCGUAUGAAAGUAUGGGCGACCCGCAAGGGAGCCAGCCGAGGUGCUGCAUGGUUGUCGUCAGCUCGUGUCGUGAGAUGUUGGGUUAAGUCCCGCAACGAGCGCAACCCCUAUCCUGUGUUGCUACCCGCAAGGGAGGACUCUCAGGAGACUGCCGCGGAUAACGUGGAGGAAGGUGGGGCCGACGUCAAAUCAUCAUGGCCUUUAUGUCCAGGGCCACACACGUGCUACAAUGGCGCGUACAACGGGAUGCAAGACCGCAAGGUGGAGCAAAUCCCUCAAAGCGCGCCUCAGUUCAGAUUGUGGGCUGCAAUUCGCCCACAUGAAGGCGGAAUCGCUAGUAAUCGCAGAUCAGCAGGCUGCGGUGAAUACGUUCCCGGGCCUUGUACACACCGCCCGU
rnacentral:rRNA from 1 species